UUUGUUGCUUGCGCUCGCCCACCAUAGCUCAGCGGAGAAGCUCAGGGUCUCCGCUUUCCCCUGGUAAAGGUCACCGCCGCCGCCGUGAUCGGUCUUGCCGUGGCCUGUGGCCAGACCGUAUCGAUCCUAUCGUAUCCAGAACUCGGGAACAUUGUUGUGAAACCAAGACGCACCGUCACCAAUCGUGCUACCGUCGUCAGAACAUCUAGAAGAAAAGUUGAAGUGGAAGUAGAAGAGGAACCAGUAUCUCAAUCUGAAGCUUCUCCAACUAAAGGUGUUGCUGAAGGUCCUACUGAAUGUGCUGCAGUAGGUUUUGCUGCUAACUGCAAUAUUUUGGUAUAAAAGCCUGACUCUUCUCCUCAUCAAGGCAAG